UACGUAGGGUGCGAGCGUUGUCCGGAAUUAUUGGGCGUAAAGAGCUCGUAGGCGGUUUGUCGCGUCGGCCGUGAAAGUCCGGGGCUCAACUCCGGAUCUGCGGUGGGUACGGGCAGACUAGAGUGAUGUAGGGGAGACUGGAAUUCCUGGUGUAGCGGUGAAAUGCGCAGAUAUCAGGAGGAACACCGAUGGCGAAGGCAGGUCUCUGGGCAUUAACUGACGCUGAGGAGCGAAAGCAUGGGGAGCGAACAGG
rnacentral:rRNA from 1 species